AAUCCAUGGUCAGGGCAGCUUCUCAAAAAAUCCUUAUACCUCUCCCAUGUAUCAUAUAAAGUCUCUAAGUCCAUCUGAACGAAGGAAGAGAUAUCAUUCCUCAACUU
rfam:Gossypium arboreum cultivar AKA8401 contig_45342_1, whole genome shotgun sequence.